UACCCCUGUUGUUUGAACAAG
rnacentral:piRNA from 1 species